CCUACGGGAGGCAGCAGUGGGGAAUAUUGCACAAUGGGGGAAACCCUGAUGCAGCGACGCCGCGUGCGUGAUGAAGUUUUUCGGAUUGUAAAGUCCUAUUAUCAGGGAAGAAAAUGACGGUAUCUAACUAAUAAGCCCCGGCUAACUCCGUGCCAGCAGCCGCGGUAAUACGUAGGGCGCAAGCGUUAAUCGGAAUUACUGGGGGUAAAGGGAGCGUAGGCGGGAUAGCAAGUCGGGUGGGAAAUGCCAGGGCUUAACCCCAGAACUGCAUUGGAAACUGUGAAACUAGAGUGUGAGAGAGGUAAGUGGAAUUCCUGGUGAAGCGGUGAAAUGCGUAGAGAUAAGGAGGAACAC
rnacentral:rRNA from 1 species